ensembl:lncRNA
AUCCACCACAGCUAACACAGGCCUACAGUAGGCUACAACAUUCACCAUAGCUAAAACAGGCCUACAGUAGGCUACAACAUUCACCAUAGCUAAAACAGGCCUACAUUAGGCUACAACAUCCACCAUAGCUAAAACAGGCCUACAUUAGGCUACAACAUCCACCACAGCUAACACAGGCCUACAUUAGGCUACAACAUCCACCACAGCUAACACAGGCCUACAUUAGGCUACAACAUCCACCACAGCUAACAUAGGCCUACAGUAGGCUACAACAUUCACCAUAGCUAAAACAGGCCUACAGUAGGCUACAACAUCCACCACAGCUAACACAGGCCUACAGUAGGCUACAACAUUCACCAUAGCUAAAACAGGCCUACAGUAGGCUACAACAUCCACCACAGCUAACACAGGCAUACAGUACUGUAGACUACAACAUCCACCACUCUUAAUACAGGCCUACAGUAGGCUACAACAUCCACCACAGCUAACACAGGCAUACAUUACUGUAGACUACAACAUCCACCACUCUUAAUACAGGCCUACAGUAGGCUACAACAUCCACCACAACUAACAUAGGCCUACAGUAGGCUACACCAUCCACCAUAGCUAACAGGCCUACAGUACAAUAGAAUACAACGUCCACCAUAGCUAACACAGGCCUACAUUAGGCCACAACAUCCACCACAGCUAAACCAGGUCUACAGCUAACGCAGGCCAAAAACAUCCACCACAGCUAACACAGGCCUAAAACAUCCACCACAGCUAACACAGGCCUAAAACAUCCACCACAACUAACACAGGCCAACAACAUCCACCACAGCUAACAGUAAUAUGGUUACAAUGAACUCAACUAUGGAUUGCCAUUGGAUAAUGAUGAUUAUGUCAUGGUUCCACCUGUCACCAGAGGGCGGCAGAGACCGUCCUAGAGACAUUAAUGACACUCAGGUGAAUGCUGUUUUCUCAUGAUUUCCCUGUUAAAAGAGGUGUGUUUUCUGUAGUCCUUUGCAGAAGCUUGGUUGUUUCUUGAGUGAAUUUUUUAGAUGUGGGGUUUGUUGUUUUUCAAGUGUACUGUGAUUGUGUGG